UCGUUAAGUGAUGACAUGUUAGAUAGAAUGUCACAUCAUCACGCCUUGUCACAGACAAUUCAUUGCCUCAUCAACAACUUCAAUGACGUGUCAGUGACAAGGUGUGAUGAUGUGACACUCUGUCUGUCAUGUUAUCACUUAACAGAA
rfam:Glycine max cultivar Williams 82 chromosome 1, whole genome shotgun sequence.